ensembl:lncRNA
AAACGAAUUCUUUUCUGUUUGAUGUUACAACUUUCCUCAAAGACAUUAUUAUUUAUUCCACUUCUAAGCAUUGAUUUGUCCUUGAAAUCUGUGUAAUUUAUCCUUGAUAUGCAUGGGUGUUUUCUAAGUUUUCUUUUUUUAUUUCUAUGUGAAUGACUCGUAUAGAGCUUCGGACUUUUGAGUGGGUACCAGGCUUUUCAAUUUCACGGACCAAUGAGAGGGAAAACAAAAAAGUUAAGGACUAAAAUCGCGUUGCCAGCGUUUUAUUUUGCCAGGAGUAUAUAUUUGAAAAAAAAAAAAACUCCACCGUUUUCUAUCAUUGUCAUUUCAUAAAAGGACAUUUUAACAUCAAAACAAGGAAGUAAUCUUGCAAUAAAUGACAGUCUUUCAAGUGGAAUGCAAUUUUUUUUAAAGUGCUACAUUGUCCUUUUUGCCUGGAUCCAGUGGACAUCUCUCUAAAGACGUGUGAGAACUUCUGCCUUCAGAGCACAAUCUGUGUCCUCUUACCCGUUGUCUUUUAGCGCUUUCUGUUACCUUCAUUUCGUCAAGGUUGUUCCUCCCGGGCAUUUCCCCUCGCACUCCAGCAGCAUUCGAAGUCCUUUCCCUCUGGCCCUGGCUUCACUGCGACUCAGGAGGACCUUGACCGUCAGUCCUGUGUGGCUGGAUGUCAUAGGAGCCAGUAGUGGGAAAGCCCAGCAGAGGUGGCAGCUGUUAGUGCUGAGGAGACAGAGCAGCUGUUCGCUAUCGUUCCAGAGCUGUCUCAUCAUUUGUUGUGCACAAAGGUGGCUUUACAAUUCUCCAUGCCCGUCCUUCUCCGCCAGCCUCGGAGCACCCAAUGCCUUUCAUCUUGGUGCCGUGACUCAAGGUCUUGGCCAUUUGUCUUUCUUUCCUUCAGGGCUUUUAAUAGACUUUUUGUGUCAUAGACUGGAGUGGUUCAAUGUCAAAUACAAAACGCAAGCCUCCAGAGAACAAGGAUUGCUGCCCUUUUGGCUUUGAUCAGAUUUUCUUUCCGAAUUCCAAGUACAGCCUCUGCGCAUCUGGGAAGAAUAUGAAGAGUCUGGUGUGGCUGGGCUUUCCUCUCUGCACCCUCCAUUUCAGUCCCAUCCACCUUUCUUCCUGAGAAAGGCUCGUGGCUUUGUGCUGUUGUUUGCUCUUCCUCCAGGGGGCAAGUAAUCUGAUAAAACCACUCACAGUAAGGGGCUAGAAGCAUAAUUUCCCUGCUGCCAGAUGUUCUUACACACUAUGAAGUUGAAAAAAGAACUCAGUUUUGGAGUUGAAGGCGUUAAUUCCAGCCCUGGCUGUAGUUGUGAUGGGCUUGAACAAUUGAUACAGUUUCGGGGAGAUUCUGUUUCUUCGUCAACAAAACGAGGCUGAUAAUCAUAUCUAUCUCCCAGGCUUCUUCCUGUUGUUCAGUCACCAAGUUGUGUCCAACUCUUUGUGACCCCCUGGACUGCAGCAUGCCAGGCCUCCCUGUCCCUCACUGUCUCCUGGAGUUUGCUCAAACCUGUGUCAGAGGCUUGAUGUCAAAAUUAAAUGUGAAUGUGAGCAGUCAAAAUACUUUAUAAUCUGAAAAGUGUUUUGAUGAUUUGUUAGUGUUUUCCUUGGGUUUGUAAAUAGUAGAAAACUACUUGAGCUAGCUUGAGUAAGGAUACUGGGUUUGACCAAGUCUUAAGUAAGGCAAGAUUGAGGUGCUGUGGGAAGCCAGGCAGUUCUCUUUCCCCACAUAUGGCAGAUCCUUCUAGUGUUCAGCAAUAUCUGGUUCUGGUCUUCUUCAUAGACACUCAGUGAAGCUGUAUUUCCUAGCCCUACUUCCCUCUAGGUAGAACCAUGUGAUUGAGUUCUGCCAGCAGAUUGUGGGAAGAAAUGAUAUAUGCCUCUUCUAGUCCUGGAAACAAAAUGGCCCACGUGCUGGGAUGGGAUAGGAUGAUGCCCAGGGGAUCUUGAAACCACAACAUUGUGGAGACAUGAGAUGGUAUGAGAGGGUUCUGGGUCCCCGAGUCACCACGUGGAGAGAACUGCAUGGGGGAGCCGCCCAGUCAUUAGUAUUGGACUUUGUGUGAGCAAGAGAUAAACUCGUAUUAUGUGAGGUCACUGAGAUUUGGGAUCGUUUCUUACAGUAGUUGGUCCACCUAAUACACCAUAUCUUGAGUCCACUUCCCCUUGCCACUUUAUCGUUUAUCUUCCUUGCCACACACCGUCUUUCUCUGCCUUGUUACUCAUCGUGGUGAAUAAUGGCCACCAUCAAAAGCAGCUAAGUUGACCCCUCUUCCAUUCAAGAGAACAGCUUGACUGCAGCUAAAAACACUUAUUUCAUAUUUCAAAUUCCUUCAAGAGAACUGAGUCCAACUGGUAUUGGAUGCUGAUCCUGGUCCAAUCCAUAUGUGACAUCUAUGAGGAUAAGGAGGAGGGGCAAUUUUCAGAAAAGCAGUGCUUGGCAAACAGAUCCAAACAUAUCUACCAACGUGUUCUAUACUUGCUGUUAACAUUUUAAGAAGAGGAACACGGGAAGGGUGCAGACAUACUUUUCUUCUGAUACACCCCUGAAAGAAUGAGUCUCUAAGGAAGCUUGGCUCUUCAGUCAUCGGUAAUGGUUUACUUUACACUGGGUGGUGCUUCCCAGUUGCCCGCAAGCUAUGUUGGUUCAAUGUAACAAUAUUGCCUGUAUGCAGUGAGGCGCUGGUUAGCGGCUGUAUCUUCUGGCUCAUGGGCUACCCCAGGCAUGAUGACCACACUCGUACCUGCAGGAGGUGAGAGGUGGGAGUCACUAUCUGGUGCGUGGGUGCUUCAAGUGGAAUGAAGCAAAGUCCAUAAAGUGACCUUGGGAUGGUGGCGUAAAAGAUGAGAGAAGAAUAGGAGUUUGAUUGCUUCCAAAGCACAGAAUGAAUGUCACAAACAAAAAGGCAGCCACAGAAAUGUCUGCUUUUCCGUGUAAAUAAUUUCCCCAUCAAUGUCACCUCCCACCACCUAAAAGUCGAGGUUCUAAGCAUGAUGAAAAGGCCCUUGGUGAAUGGGCUCUCUCAGCCUGAUGCCCCAAUGGGUCAUCACACACUCCAUCUGCCAGCCUCCAACCAGACUGGACCAUGAGCAUUUCCCCAAAAAAGGGCCGUGUUUUCUGAAGCCUCAGUUUUCAGUGUAUGCUUUCUUCUUUUCCUGCAAUACCCACUUUCCCGUUCCUGCAAAGAAUCCUGUCUAGUGUCAGGACUCAGCUCUAGCACACCUUCCAGGACUAGCAGCCUAUAGGUCAGGUUAAGCCAUUUAUUUUUCCUGUUCCAUUGUAAUAUCUGAAUGUGCUUUGUGUUUUUGAGCAUUUUUUUUUUUCUCUCUCUAACUGCAAAGAUAAAAAAAAAAAAGUUAAUGUUACCAACUUUGGAAAGUCCAAAUAAGCACAAAAAAGAAAAUAAAAAUCUCCUGUUAUCCCACCCUUCAGGGGGAAUAUAUAUGCAGUGCACAUGCGCACACUCACACACGCACACCCAACACACAAUACAUGUACAUAUACUUUCCAAAAAAUUUUUGCUUUUGUGUUUGCUUUUUCCUGUUAACAAAUAUAUCAUGAAGAAUUACCUAUAUGUUUAUAAUUUUUAAUGAAUGGUUAAUAACCUGUGGAUACCCCAUAGUUUAUUUGAUGAAACUUAUUGUUGGAUGUUUAUGAUUGUUUUACAUUUUUCACUGUAAUAGAUAAUCCUGGGAUGAAUAACCUUGGAUGUAAAUCCUUGCAUACCUCUCUGCUUAUUUCUUUAGGGUAAAAACCUAGAAAGAGAGUUAUUGGGUCAAGGAGUGUGCAAACAAAAUCCAAAGGCAAGCCUGCAGAGAGAAUGACCGUCUUGGGAGCCUUUUCAGAAGAGGAAAUCAUUCCCGGGAACGCUUCUCCCCAGAUCAUUACUCUCUCUGUUUCAGGGACAGAAGUGCAUGCCAUGUAUAUGCAGAAACCAGGUACUGGCAACGGUAGCAAGACUACUACCUUUGCUUAGACCACCCGGAUGUAUCCUAUCACAUCCAAUAUUCAAAAAAUGGCCUUUUGUUAUUAAGAAAGAUUUAAGAGUAACUUUUAUUUCACAUAUUGCACACAUACUCAUAUCCUUUCAAAAGUGACUGUGUUUUACUUUCUGAACCUUACAGAGCACAAAGCUUUGUCUGCCAUAACAUCAGCUCCAGAUAGAGGCUUGUCAGAUGAAUGAAUGCCUACAUGUAUAAGUGCCUAUACACAGUUUGGUGUGUAUUUUGUAAUUGUGAUUAAGAACAGGCGGGAGAGUCGUUCACCAAACAGUUUUCCUCUAGAGGCUGGAUAGUUGAGGGAUAUAGACUUAAGGCAGCCUGGGAACAGAAUAAGAGAUUUUCCCAGGACAUAGCAGGCAGUCACUUCUAAAACUCAGCUUACUUUUCUAUUAGUUUAAUGUAUUUUCCAUUGGCUAGCUUUUUUUUUGAUUGCCAGGUAUCUUUCUAUUUUACAUCCAUUUAAAAACAAACAGAUAAAUAUUAACUAUUAAAUGGCAAUUAAAACUUUAACCACAAUGAACAUAUCCAUAAGAAAACUGACCAAGAAUCUCUGGCCACUGGCUAACUUUUAAAUCAGUUUUACACUAACCAUUACAGCGCCAUCCUUAUUUAAGCUAAAAGACCACUGAUAAGCUAUGGAGAAAAAUACCCAUCACCUGGAGAAAUAAAACAACCCAGAUAUUAGUUACAAAAUUGUUCACCUGUGAAUGAGUCCUAAUAUAAUUAUUAUGAGAAUGAAUUUGCAGUUAGAAGUUGUCAUGGUCUCUUAAGGCUAGAGUUAUAGAACUCUGGUGGCAAUAGAAAGAAAUAUCAGUCUAUUGUUGAAGAAUUAGUAUGGUAAGUCAUCAAUUUGAGUCCUGGAGUUAAUGGGAACCGAAUAAGUGUUUUUGCGUAGGGGGUAUUUCUGUAAGCUUCUUUUGACAGUGGAAGGGUUGGACAUUUGUCUUCUAAACCCAGGACCUUGAAUAAGAAAAGUGCCCAGUUUUUAAAUUUCAUAAUUAAAAAUAAAAAAGGAUUUUUGAAAUAUGGGGAGAGAAGUUAAGAACUGCCUUCUAUGGAGCCGUAAGUAAAUGAACAGGGCUUCCUUUUUUAUGUGGUUGAUGAUGUCCAUCACGUGGUCAUAUAUCAGCAUCAUCUCCAAAAUGAUGGAUAAUUAUGCAUCUUUUGGUCCAUCAAUAACCAACUACUUGGUUAUGUUAAUGUAACCAACCUUCAUGUGAAAACAAUAACUUAUAUUUGUAAUUAUUGAUAGUGCUAUUAAAUUGGUUUUUAUAGUAAUUUAUCUAAAUCUAACAGCUUAUGUUUCUGGUCUGCUUUAAAAAAAAAAACCAUAGAGAAUGAAUGCAUCAAAUCACUUUCUUAGUUUUACUGGGAUUUUUCAAUAAUUAAACACUUGAAAUGACUUUUGCAUGAAGGAGAUGUGGACUGUUCAAGGCUGUGUAAUUGAUUAUGAAAUCCAAUAAUCCUCUAUCAUCCAAACAUGAGAGCGAGCAAUGACAAGCUGAUGAGAAUUAACGAAGUGAAUUAUGAAGUGUUAAUUUUACAACUCAUUGGCACUCAGUUGUGUGAAAAGAUCAUAUAAAUGUGCUGGUAAGAAAAACGCCGUGUGAUUCUGCCACCACUGCCUUCUCCCUGUCUCACUCAAACACAAAUCUGAGCAAUGGCUAGUAGUCCCCAGAGCCCCAGGCUCACUUUGCAAUUAUGUCCAGAGGUGGAGGACGAAGUUUGGACUGAUGUUAUGGACUGAACAUUUGUAUGUCCCUCCUCCUCCACCACCGCUCCCAAAUUCAUAUGUUGAAGCCCUAACCUUCAACGUCAAGGUAGUUAGAGAAGGGGCCUCUGAGUUAGGUUCGCUCUUGAAGGUGGAUUUUCAUGAUGGGAUCAGUGGCCUUAUAAGAAGAGAAAGAGACAACAGAGCUCCCUGUCAUGUGAAGACACAAUGAAAAGGCAGCCAGGAGUAGAGCGCCCACCUGGAAUCAAACUGGCCAGCACCUUGAUUUUGGACUUCCUGGCUUCCAGAACUGUGAGAAAUAAAUGUCGGGGGUUUAAGGCACCCAGGCUACAGUAUUUCGUUAUGGCAGUCUGGGCUAAGACAGACUGAGAUCUAGGCUUCUGAGGAUUUGAUAAACAAAUUAGACUUCUCAGGUGUAUUGUUUCAUGAUUAUACCUUUCUUUGUAUUAAUUUCAUUCCUUUUUAUUAACAACCUUAUCACACUUCAGCAUUUACAGAUAUGCAAUUUGACUUUAUUACUUUAUUGUGCAAAUAUUUAUUAAACAUAUACUAAUGUAGCCAUCUGGCCUUUAGCUUUGAAUAAGAUAUGAAGGUAACUAAGCAUCAGUUCAGUUCAGUUCAGUCGCUCAGUUGUGUCCGACUCUUUGCGACCUCAUGAAUUGCAGCACGCCAGGCCUCCCUGUCCAUCACCAACUCCCGGAGUUCACUCAGACUCACGUCCAUCGAGUUGGUGAUGUCAUCCAGCCAUCUCAUCCUCUGUCGUCCCCUUCUCCUCCUGCCCCCAAUCCCUCCCAGCAUCAGAGUCUUUUCCAAUGAGUCAGCUCUUCAUAUGAGGUGGCCAAAGUAUUGGAGUUUCAACUUCAGCAUCAGUCCUUCCAAAGAACACCCAGGAUUGGUCUCCUUUAGGAUGGACUGGUUGGAUCUCCUUACAGUCCAAGGGACUCUCAAGAGUCUUCUCCAACACCACAGUUCAAAAGCAUCAAUUCUUCGGCGCUCAGCUUUCUUUACAGUCCAAUUCUCACAUCCAUACAUGACUACUGGAAAAACUAUAGCCUUGACUAGAUGGACCUUUGUUGGCGAACUAAUGUCUCUGCUUUUUAAUAUGCUAUCUAGGUUGGUCAUAACUUUCCUUCCAAGGAGUAAGCAUCUCUUUAUUUCAGUCCCUGCCAUUGAGAAUCUAACAGUUUGCAUAAAAGGAUAACUGAGUCAUAAAAGCAUAACUAACAAUAGAGGACUGAGCUAGAUCUGUGGGAACCCAGGGAGUGAGACUUCCAGAGGAUUCCAGGAAGGCUUGCAAGAGGGGUGACUUUUGAGUUUUAGUAAAUAAUAAAAAUGCAUGUGAAAAUUAACACUCUAAAUUAUGAAACUUAUUAAACAUACAGAAAACACAGAAAAUACUAUCACAAACAUCUGUAUAUCCAUUACUCAAAUGAAAUACAAGUAAGUUUUGUUAUAGAUAGCUCCCCUUCACUCUUCUUUUUUAACUUUUAGAAAUAAAAUGCAGUAGUUACAGAUUAAGUUCCAUCCUUUAUCCCUUUAUUUUUUUCCUUAUCCAGAAGUAACACUAUCUGAAAUUGAUGAGUGUCAUUAUACAUAUUUUGGAAUGCUUACUACAUAGGCGAGUAUGUAUACAUAGAACAGUUAUAUAUAUGUUUUAAAUGCACUUCAUAGUGUUCUUCUAUAAUUUGCCAUCUUGAUGUUAGCACAUGUUUUUGAGAUUUAGUCACUUGUGGAUAGGUUAUUCUUCUACUUUUUCGGGGAGUGCUAUGAAUCAGUAGUAUAAUUAACUUUCUUAUAAAAAUCUCAUAUGCAUUUGAAAGAGUAUUCUUCAGCUGCCUGGAAAUGGAGCUUUUAAACACCAUUUUAAAAGAAAUGCCCAGACUACAUUUUAAUCACUUCAAGAAAGUGUUGUUCUAACUCACAGAAUUACUUCAUCACUUGAACACAAACUGCGAUAUGAAUCUUGCUGGUAACAAAAUAACACCAUCAUUAUUUAUGGAGACUUCCUAUAUGGCAGGUGCUGUUAACAUGUGGUACACAGGAAUUACUUCUUUCAUCGUUUAAACUUCACCUGUUCUUUUUUUUUUAAUUUCAACUUUAUGUAACCCAAAGCUUUAAUUUUAAUAAAGUCCAACUUAAUCCAAAUUUUUAUGGAUCAUACUUUUUAAAAAUUAUCACUAUAGCAUAAAAGUUACUACCUUAAUCAUUUUUAAGUAUACAGUACAGUAGUGUUAAUUAUAAGGAUAUUGUUGUGCAACACAUGUCUAGAGCUUUUUCAUCCUGCAAAACUAAAACUCUGUACCCGUUGAACAACAGCUCCCGGUUUCCCCUCCUCAGCAGCCCUCCAAAAGGACGUGCACCUUUCUGUUCCUAUGCGUUUGACUACAUUUAGAUACAUCAGACUCUAAACAAGACCGGGAGCUGACUGUGGCUCAGAUCAUGAACUCCUUAUUGCCAAAUUCAGACUUAAAUUGAAGCAAUUAGGGAAGACCACUAGACCAUUCAGGUAUGACUAAAUCAAAUAGCUUACGAUUAAACAGUGGAAGUGACAAAUAGAUUCAAGGGAUUAGAUCUGAUAGACAGAGUGCCUGAAGAACUAUGGACAGAGGUUCAUGACAUUGUACAGGAGGCAAGGAUCAAGACCAUCCCCCCAAAAAAGAAACGCAAAAAGGCAAAAUGGUUGUCUAAGGAGGCCUUACAAAUAACUGAGAAAAGAAGAGAAGCUAAAGGCAAAGGAGAAAGGAAAGAUAUUCCCAUUUGAAUGCAGAGUUCCAAAGAAUAGCAAGGAGAGAUAAGAAAGCUUUCCUCAGUGAUCAAUGCAAAGAAAUAGAGGAAAACAACAGAAUGGGAAAGACUAGAGAUCUCGUCAAGAAAAUUAGAGAUACCAAGGGAACACUUCAUGUAAAGAUGGGCACAAUAAAGGACAGAAAUGGUAUGGACCUAACAGCAGGAGAGGAUAUUAAGAAGAGGUGGCAAGAAUACACAAAAGAACUAUACAAAAAAGAUCUUCAUGACCCAGAUAACCACGAUGGUGUGAUCACUCACCCAAAGCCAGACAUCCUGGAAUGAGAAGUCAAGUGUGCCUUAGGAAGCAUCACUACGAACAAAGCUAAUGGAGGUGGUGGAAUUCCAGUUGAGCUAUUUCAAAUCCUGAAGAUGAUGCUGUGAAAGUGCUGCACUCAAUAUGCCAGCAAAUGUGGAAAACUCAGCAGUGGCCACAGGACUGGAAAAGGUCAGUUUUCAUUGCAAUCCCAAAGAAAGGCAAUGCCAAAGAAUGCUCAAACUACCGCACAAUUGCACUCAUCUCACACCCUAGCAAAGUAAUACUCAAAAUUCUCCAAGCCAGGCUUCAACAAUACAUGAACCAUGAACUUCCAGAUGUUCAAGCUGGAUUUAGAAAAGGCAGAGGAACCAGAGAUCAAAUUGCCAACAUCCGUUGGAUCAUUGAAAAAACAAGAGAGUUCCAGAAAAACAUCUACUUCUGCUUUAUUGACUAUGCCAGAGCCUUUGACUGUGUGGAUCACAGCAAACUGUGGAAAAUUCUUAAAGAGAUGGGAAUACCAGAGCACCUGACCUGCCCCUUAAGAAACCUAUAUGCAGGUCAGGAAGCAACAGUUAGAACUGGACAUGGAACAACAGACUGGUUCCAAAUAGGAAAAGGAGUAUGUCAAGGCUGUAUAUUGUCACCCUGCUGAUUUAACUUAUAUGCAGAGUACAUCAUGAGAAAUGCUGGGCUGAAUGAAACACAAGCUGGAAUCAAGAUUGCCUGGAGAAAUAUCAGUAACCUCAGAUAUGCAGAUGACACCACCCUUAUAGCAGAAAGUGAACAAGAAUUAAAGAGCUUCUUGAUGAAAGUGAAGAAGUUGGCUUAAAACUCCACACUCAGAAAAUUAAGAUCAUAGCAUCCGGUCCCAUCACGUCAUGGCAAAUAUAUGGGAAAACAGUGGAAACAGUGACAGAUUUUGGUUUUUUGGGCUCCAAAAUCACUGCAGAUGGUGACUGCAGCCAUGAAAUUAAAAGAAACUUGUUCCUUGGAAGAAAAGUUAUGACCAACGUAGACAGCAUAUUAAAAAGCAGAGACAUUACUUUGCCAACAAAGGUCCAUCUAGUCAAAGGUAAGGUUUUUCCAGUAGUCAUGUAUGGAUGUGAGAGUUGGAAUAUAAAGAAAGCUGAUCACUGAAGAAUUGAUGCUUUUGAACUGUGGUGCUGAAGAAGACUAUUGAGAGUCCCUUGGACUGCAAGGAUAUCCAACCAGUCCAUCCUAAAAGAAAUCAGUCCUGACUAUUCAUUGGAAGGACUGAUGCUGAAUCUGAAGCUCCAGUACUUUGGCCAUCUGAUGCUAAGAACAGAAUCAUUUGAAAAGAGCCUGAUGCUGGGAAGGAUUGAAGGUGGGAGGAGAAGGGGACGAUACAGGAUGAGAUGGUUGGAUCACAUCACCAACUCAAUGGACAUGAGUUUGAGUAAGCUCCAGGAGUUGGUGAUGGACAGGGAGGCCUGGCAUGCUGCAGUCCAUGGGGUCACAAAGAGUCAAACAGAACUGAGUGACUGAACUGAACUGACCUAGACUCUAAGCUCUAAAAGACAGAGAUCAUAUCUCUCUUUCAGUCUAAACACCCUAGAUGAUUUUUAUCACAUGCUCAGUAAAAACCAAUUGCUGUCAAAUUUUGAUAAAUUGCAGUAUCCUGGUAUUAUCAGUCAGUAUAAAAACUUGUACCAUGACAUUUUAGAUAUCUAGAAAUGUUGUUGAGAUAUGAAAUUAGUAUGCAGUAAUUUGGAUAACAAUGUAUUUGGCUCUUUUAUUUUUUUAUAUUUAUAUUUAUUUAUUUAUUUAUUUUUUGGCUGCACGGGUCUUCAUUGCUGCACCAUUUUCUCCCAUUCUCUAGUCGUGGUGUGCAGGGGAUACGCUCUAGUUGCGGUGUGUGAGCUUCUCAUUGUGGUGACUUCUUUGUUGCAGAGCACAGGUUCUAGGGCAUGUGGGCUUCAGUAGUUGUGGAGUGAAGUUUUAGCAGUUGUGGUUUGCUGACUCUAAAACGCAAGCUCCAUAGUUGUGGCAUUGUGGAGCAUGGGUUUAGUUGCUUUGUGGCAUAUAGAAUCUUCCUGGACCAGGGAUCAGGUCCAUGUUUCCUGUAUCAGUUGGUAGAUUCUUGCUUUACAAUGUUGUG